AUGCGCAGGCCAUUUAGAGGUUUGCAGGUACCUAGUGGAGGAGCUUGGAGGAGAUGUAAAUGCUCCUGGGUUUGGGGAUACAGCUCUAGGUCUUUCUCUAUCCCUUUCUCCAUUUUUCAAUUUGGUGGCUACCAUGUAAAUAUUUGCCAGUAUGAGAUGUACGAUUGUGCUAACAAUGUGCUUUUUGAAGGUGCGACUCCAUUUAUGGUGUCUGCUCAGUCUGGUGAUGUUGCUACUGUCAAGUAUUUUCUUGAUCAUGGUGGUGAUCUUGUGAAAGCAGAUGACAAAGGGCGCACAGUUCUCCACCAUGCUGCGGGUAUAGGAUGCUGCAAGGUUAUAGAGUUCCUCCUGUCAAAAGGAGUGCCUGUUGACAUAGACUGUGGCCGUGGAACACCACUCUUUUGGGCUGCUAUCAUAUCUUUGUUCAUCUCAAACCCUAACAUCAUCAUCAAUGGUACUACCAGUCCCCUUAUGAGUGCUCUUGCUUACCGUUCAUUGAAGUGCAUGAAGCUACUCAUUAAGGCUGGUGCUGAUGUCAAUUGCAAUGGUUCCAUGUUGACUCCAUUGUUGCUUGCUACGAUGCAUGGAGGUUAUACCAACUUCAUUAAGCUCCUAUUAAAGGCUGGAGCAGAUCCUAAUAUUCCUGAUGAUUUGACAAGAGUUGAUGAGAUAAUGAGAAGCAGUAUAUACUAUUCUGGGUAUCAGUAUUUCUCCAAUUUGGGUAGGUUUCCAGUAGAGCUUGCUGCGAUACGCGAUUGCAAGGAAGAGGUUGAAAUGUUAUUUCCUGUGACUUCUCCAAUUCCAAAUGUCCCAAACUGGAGUAUUGAAGGAGUAAUUUCUCAUGCGAAAAUUGAAGAAAAGAAGCCAAUUGAGCAACGGCACCUUCAAAGAAGAAAAGGUUUGAUCAAGUCAAAGGCUGAUACGGCAUUCAAGCAGAAGGAGUAUAAGAUAGCAACAAAGAUUUAUGAUUUGGUACACCUCUUGCAUUAUAUCUAUGAUACUGGGAACUAG
rnacentral:rRNA from 1 species